rnacentral:rRNA from 1 species
UGCAUAUCAAUAAGCGGAGGAAAAGAAACCAACAGGGAUUGCCUUAGUAGCGGCGAGUGAAGCGGCAAAAGCUCAAAUUUGAAAUCUGGCUCUUUCAGAGUCCGAGUUGUAAUUUGAAGAAGGUAUCUUUGGGUCUGGCUCUUGUCUAUGUUUCUUGGAACAGAACGUCACAGAGGGUGAGAAUCCCGUGCGAUGAGAUGAUCCAGGCCUAUGUAAAGUUCCUUCGAAGAGUCGAGUUGUUUGGGAAUGCAGCUCUAAGUGGGUGGUAAAUUCCAUCUAAAGCUAAAUAUUGGCGAGAGACCGAUAGCGAACAAGUACAGUGAUGGAAAGAUGAAAAGAACUUUGAAAAGAGAGUGAAAAAGUACGUGAAAUUGUUGAAAGGGAAGGGCUUGAGAUCAGACUUGGUAUUUUGUAUGUUACUUCUUCGGGGGUGGCCUCUACAGUUUAUCGGGCCAGCAUCAGUUUGGGCGGUAGGAGAAUUGCGUUGGAAUGUGGCACGGCUUCGGUUGUGUGUUAUAGCCUUCGUCGAUACUGCCAGCCUAGACUGAGGACUGCGGUUUAUACCUAGGAUGUUGGCAUAAUGAUCUUAAGUCGCCCGUCUUGAAACACGG